CAAUUGUGCCAACCAUCUUGCCAAACAAUGAGAUACAUAGAAGAAAACUCUCUAAGUCCCACUCAAAACAGUAUUACUGAGUAGUGGAGAUGAACAACACGCACUUAAGAGAACUUAGGUCUCUACCUUAGGUAUAAUUUCUUCUGUAAAAUGGGGGAGGGGAUGGAGCAGGGCCUUGGGCAGAGAACUGGCAGGAGGAGACAGGGAAGCAAAAGAGGCAGGUUUUCAAGACAGUGGCCUCCAGUAUCUCUCUAAUUCAGUUUUCAAUCACCCUCCAUAAGCCAAGCUGUUCAACAAUUCUUACCAGGGCAAAGCCCUCCUCAUUCCAAAAAGAGAAGAAGAAGAAAAAAAAAAAAAUCCCUCCAGCUAUCUUAUCUCUACUUUCUGCCCUGCAAACCCCAGGUUAAUUCAAUAAGUAACUGAGUUGAGGCGCUUGGGAAGGGGGAUAGAUUUUUUUGGUGGUAGUUAAGAGGCUGGUGAAGUACAGGGAUGAACCAUUCAUAGGCAACAGAGGGGAGCACCAUAAAUGAGGAAGACUGAACCACUCAAUCACCACAUGGUGGGGGGAUGCUCAGAGUUGGACUGGACCAUUCUGAGGCAUGGGCAUGAUCUAGAUCAUACCAAUCUUUCUUGCAUGGGGUGCAGAGUUGGGACUAUUGCGGGGAGGUACUGCAUUGCUCAGGGCAGUACUUACCAGGUGGAGUUUGGUGUGCCCUGUCUCAUUGGAACCAGUGUCCCAGCAGUAGGGUGCAGCAGACCACAGUGGGUGAGGUGGGUGGUACUACGGGGCUGGCAUGGUGCCUGGGGGAACCUAAAAGAAAAAAAGCCAGUUAGAGGUGGGACUUCCCAGGCUGGAGAAUUUUCCUGUGCCCCCUAUCCCCUUAUUGAGGAGAAACCUGGCUCUGGUGGUCAGAUGGGAUGGGAGAAUCCGAAUCUGUUUCCAUGGCAACCAGAAAAAGCCAAUCCAAGAGCCUUCCCCUUUAAGAAGCAGCCUGGACCAGAGAGUGAGGGCACAUGCCACAGCACCAGUGUUAAGUCCACAGUGGACACCCAGCCCAUGACUCCUCUUCUGACUGGACCUUCCUGCUCAGAGUCCCUGGCCCCAAAGAAGUCCCAACCACUUCUGACAUCUCACCCAAGUCAGCUUCAGUCCUGGCCUCAGGCUUGCAGAAACUCUUCCUUCAGCGCAGUCUCCUCCCUAACCUUAUCAAGACACCAGUCAACCCCACCCUCUGGACUCUGCCCCCUUGCCUUCCCCCAGGCAGGUGCAGGCAGGUCGUGGUGAGCAGUACAGGUGGCCAGACUAGACGAACGGGCCCAGCAGGGAGGAGCCUUCCUCCUCAUCAAGGACUGUGACUCUAGGCCUGGGUCUGGAAGUGGCCUCUGCUGCAAGCCUCCUUCCAUCCACCCAUCAAGGCCAUAUCCUGUUUCCCCAUCACCUCCUUCCUCUCUGUGGCCCAAGAAGGCGAUAGGGGCCCACUCCCUCCCCUCCUAACUCUCAGAGACAAGAAGGUAGGUGUCUAGGUCCAGGACCAAGAAUCAGGUAUCCAUCCAGGGGUCACACCUGUCUGCCCUCACCUCAAACUCACUCCUCAGGGACCUGUUUUCUGCCCUCUUAGCCACAGUUCUUUGCCCUUAAGGACCCAGACACUUGGGCUCAGCAUUUAGCCUCUCCACUCUCUGGCCUUCCAGCCCCCAUUCUUCCCACUGCCCCAGAGACUCAGGCCACCAGCCCCCAGCCCCCAGCCUCCAUGAUGCAAUGUGCUGCAAGCUGCUUCAGCUGCUGAUGACACUGCCCCCAGGGAGGUGCUAUUUCUGACCUAUGCAAGGCCCCUCACCUGGCCAGAGUAGUGGUCAGCUGCAGGCUAGGGAGGCCAGGCAGGCAAGAUCCUUCUGCUGGGGAAAGGAGCUUGAGGCUGGAACCCUCCAGGACAGGGACUCUCAGAAUGUGAGACCAGAGAACUAAGAACAGGAGGCUCAGAGAGGUUGUGACCUUUCCAAGUUCCUGUAGCCACUAAGUGGCAGAGCUGAGAAUGGAAUCCAGGUCUGAUCUGACAACCCAAGCCCUAAAGGGCGGAGUCUGUGGAGUUGAAAUCAGGACACGGCGAGAGGAAGAGUUAUAUAACUGGGAGAAGCCGAGAAGGACGAGUGAGGACCGGGAGAGACAGCCCGAAAGGAGCCGAGGGAGGUGCAAAGAGCACCA
ensembl:lncRNA